UACGGGGGGAGCAAGCGUUGUUCGGAUUUACUGGGCGUAAAGGGCGGGUAGGCGGCCACCGCAAGUCGACUGUGAAAUCUCCGGGCUUAACCCGGAAAGGUCAGCCGAUACUGCGGGGCUAGAGUGCAGAAGGGGCAACUGGAAUUCUCGGUGUAGCGGUGAAAUGCGUAGAUAUCGAGAGGAACACCUGCGGCGAAGGCGGGUUGCUGGGCUGACACUGACGCUGAUGUGCGAAAGCGUGGGGAGCGAACAGG
rnacentral:rRNA from 1 species